GGAGCCCGGCCCGGCGGUGGCUCUGGCUCUGGCGGGGACACGCCACCUGCCGCCGGAGGGACGAGCCGCCCGCCGCUGCCCGAGCUGCCGGUGCUGGCGAAGGGCCUGACUGGGUUGGGACCGCCCGAGCAUCUCUGAGGGAUUUUCCUGAAGUGGGUGAACAUCAAACACCGGGAGAAAAUGUUAACGCAUGGGAAAAAAGAAACAGAAAGCACAGCUGUGUGCUCUCUGUGUAUAUUUUGUAUAACACCUCAAGUGCAGAUAACAGAUAGUACAGGAGCUGCACUAUAAAGCAACUUUGUGAAAUGAUCCAGGUUUGCAGUUUUCGAGAGGAACGGAAUCAGGCCUUCCAUGAGCACCCUGAAACCGUACUGGCCAAAGUCACAAGUCUUCUGGGACUCCUCAGUUUACCAGUUCAGAAAUAAACAAAAACGUAAAGAACAGGAAAGAUGCAUCGACUGCACAGUAUUCUGACUGACCGGCAUUGUGGAGAAUGUUGUCUGAAUUUGCAAAGGGCACAAAACAAAGAUCAGGAUAAUUCUCAUAAGGAAUGGUGCAAAUCCUACUGUGUAACAGACUAACAGAAGACUGAAAUAGGAGGCUUUGUAUAAAGGAAAAUUUGGAUAUGAAUACAGUGACGAUUCUGACAGAGGUACACCUUGCUUUACAAAUUCAAAGCUUUCUUUGUUUUCUACCUUAUUUAAUUUCUUCCGUUCUGCUUCUUUGUCCUUCCUAUUCAAAUGUUCCUCUUUUUUUCAUUAUUUUUUUUUCAAAUUACUGUGAGCUUUAUUUUUCGUUCCCUUGUAACAUUUUGAAAGAUGAUUCCAUGGCACAGUUUUCUAGAGAACAAAAGCACAUUGUUGAGACAUUCCCUUUCCUGAGUGGCUGUAUUUUAUAUGAUUACAUUCCAACUCUGAGUAACAAUGUUAAUAUGAAAAAUUAUUCAUCCCAAUAAUAAAUCACAUAAGAUUUCUCUAAUUACUAGUAGGCAUGCUGUUGAACAUUACUUGAGUCCUUUGUGUGAAUUAACACGUAAGUGAAUACAUAUUAAACCAUGGAUUUUAAAGGCCAUAUACAGACACCACUUUUAUAAAGAUUAAGAAAUACCAAGCAAAAUGCAGCCACAUCUGUCAUGACCAAAUGAAACACAAUGUGAGUUAAUGCUGCCACGAACCAGGUCAGUCUGCCCCUUGGACACUUCCCAGAUUGUGCUGGUUGCUCCCAGCCCACUGGGUCUGGUCUGUGUUAAACUUCUGGAGCCUGAAGAGACUCCGGGUGCUUCAUUUGUGUUUGUAUUGUGGGGUGCAAACUUUAAUGUUUCCUUCUGAAACUGAGCAUACAGUCCAACAAACUGCCUCCUGUGCCUGUUGUUGGAUCUUUAGCCUCUUUGUUGCUUAAGCACAUUUUCAAGAAGAAUUUGAAGUGCAUGGACAUUUUGGGCUAUGUUUUAGUUCCUUGGGCAUACAUAGAUGUGAAAGCAAAGACUUAGUGAGCAGCAAUAAAAAAGAAGAUAAGAUCUAUCUUUGCUUACAAGGUAGCAGAUUUAUUGGUUGGAAAAUGGUAUCUAAAUGCAUUGUGCUUUUUUUCUUUCAAGUCACUGGAAGUCUGUUUGUUCAAUGUGACAGGACUCCUUCCUGCAAUUGCUCUACUUGCUUUGGGUGAAAAUCCCUAUGUAGGUUUGUCCUUUUAUUUUUUUAAGAUCUCAGCCCCUCUUCCAUAAGACUUCUUUAUUGUUGUCAUCACUUUAUGCAACCGGGUGAUCUGUAGCUUAAAUACCCCAUCGUUUUCUCCUGCUGCAGACCAGAAAGCAUGUUUUGUAAUACAUCUCCUUGUCCAAAAGAUAACAGCCAAAAUGUUAUGACCUUAUGCCAAUUUCCAUUGGAAUUCUGCUUCAAAAUGCAGGUAAAAAUAUUACAAAUGGGCUUACAAUCAAUGUUUUAGGUCUGAGUUAAACACAGUUCAUAAUCAGAUUACUCAGAUCCUUAUGACAGUUACAUGAGUACAAAUGUGUGCCACGUGGACACAGUAUAUUCAUAACAAUGUUUAACCGUCAUCUGAUUUAUCUGAUUGGAUUCUAUAUUAAACGAACCAUUUGAUAUUGAGGAGAACACCUGAUCUGAUUAGUAGAGUUUAUGGCAGAGAAGAUAUUACAACAAAGAGAGAUUCAUGAUAAGGACAUGUGCUUACAGUGCUCAUGAAGCCACGACUCAUGCUGAGACAUUUCAGCAAAACUUUCGCCCAAGAUGUAUAGCUCCUCUCCCAAUUUCCUUGUUUCCCUUUCUCUCUCCGUUCUUCACAUGAUGAUGAAAGGAGCUCUUUUUAUUCUUCUCCUGCCUCAACAUGUCCUGUUCUGAAGGCCUCCAAAGCACCAUUCUUGGGGCUAUGUUUUUCAAGAUUUCUUCCCCCAGUUCAAAAUUGAAGCUUUGCUGAACAGACAGGUACCAGCCUGGAAACAUCAUCUGCUGUUGCUGAAUGGAAUGUCGGAUUCUGGAUGCAAUCCUGUAUGGCCUGCUCACUGAAGAGUUUGCCCAAGAGAUUGCAGGGUCUUUUUCAGACAGUAACAAUAAUUCCAGACCUUUUUCCAGGGGACACCCUUGUGAUCUUGUUUAGCUCUUUGUUCAGGGACCUCUAGUGACUCAAAAGAUUACUCCAAUGAGAUUGCAAACAUGAAAAGGCUUGAAAGGUCUGUGUUUCAGACAUUUUAUAAAACUCUCUAUCCCUUUUUUUACAUUGUUUGUAGUCAAAAGAGAGAAUUUUUGAGGACACAGAGAGGAGUUGAGGUGACUAGACAAAUGGGUCUGACCAAAACUGACCGUGCCCGCAGGAAAGAACACUUAAACUGCCUGCAUUUUUUUUGUUGUUUUUUUUCCCUAUUUUAAUUUUGCUGCUGUGUUUGUCAGCAUAGCGAAGAGUGUUGUUCUCAGACAUCCAAAGGAAUAAAAGGAAAAAAAUGAUGGCUAGCAUUUAGAGGUUGAUCCUGUUAGCUGCUGGGCUGAAAGCCUCUUAAAAGGGCUAAAACCUUCAGCUCCUUUUGAUUUGAUUAAGUGCACUAAUCAUCUGUUCCAACUUAGGUCAGUGAGACACACGGUUACAAACACUUUGCAGACUGUUUUCUGUAUCACUCUGGCCAAAGCCACAGUAAAGCCGGGCUGAGACGAGCAUCUGUGCGAGACGCUGAGGUGAGAAAUUGCUUCUCAGGAACCAACGUAGCUCUUAAUUAACUAACCCACCAACCGACUUCUGCUGCUGCCACCUUUAACCACAAGAGGGGACACAGGGAGCGAAGUAUCAGCAAGACAGCUUGCCACAGCUCUGCUCAUUACUCUGCUUAUUACUCUGCUUGUUCAUGUAUCCCAUGGGGGACUGAAGCAUUUAUUCUGUGAAAAUAUGAAUUCUAAGUUCCUUGGAGAUGCCUUGAAGAAAAUCUUUCAGUUAAAGUUGCAUCAGACUUACAUAUUUGGCAAAUAAUCCCAUAUCUUUAACCUUUAGGAAGAUGUCUGGAUUUUGAUUAAAUAUUUUACAUUAGAGUUUUCCCUGUUCUUGAGUCACUGAAUUUAAGCACCUUCUGAACUGAACUAGAAAUGUGUUUUAAGUCUCUGUUAGCUUUGGCCACCAAAAUACAUUUUAUAAUUCCAUAUUAGUAAACGCCACCGUGGUAGAAUAACUUUACUUAAUGUAUUUGACAUGUAUAUGACAUGGUAAUAUUUAGGGUAUAUAAAAAGUCUUUGGUUUCAAAGCAAUUUCCUCAAUUUAAGUAGCUACAGUAUAAAAAUGAUUAAUCAUAUUCUAUCUUUUAGUAUGCAUGUGUACAACCCUUGUAACACUUUCAGAUAGUGUUUUUUCCAUGUUUUAAAGUGGUUGUGGGCAACAUUCUAUUUAUGAAUUAUCUUGGAACUUGCUAGUUCCAUUUAGAAAAAAAUGGAGCUUGGAAUUAUGUGUAUUUGCCAAAACUGCCAAAACCAACUAAAAUAAGUUAUCUGAAAAUUUAUUUAGAAUAAAUAAUUCCUGAGGUAAACAUUGGCUAAAUUCUCAAAAUGCGCCAUGGUUGCAUUGGCAAACAGUCAGGCUGCUACAGUUGUUUCCAACAGGUGGGUAUGCUUGUGAUACAGCCCUCUAUUUAGCAGUCUUUUCAAGACAAGAUAGAUGUUUUUCUCCUAAACAUGUUAUUCUUAGGAGGUGGAUUUGCACAUUGAGAGCAAUGAAUUAUUGAAAAGCACUCUAAUGGUUCACUCUCCAUUUGCAACAAAUCAAAUGACUGAAGAAGAAAUUGUAUUACAAAUAUUUCUGAGAAAGGGCUUUCCUCAUGAAAGAAAAAUUGUUUGUAUUCUAAUGACAAAAACUAUUAUUAAGCUAAAUGAUGUAUGUAGUGAGUAGCAAACAGAAAGUGGUAGAAUACUGGUAGGUGAUGAGAAAGCAAUUCAAUAGCACGGUGACAUUAGAAAUUACUUUACAUAUCUUUAUGUACAAUAGAUUUACUUUAGUUGAAAACCACCUACUCUUGGAACGAACUUCUCUUUGGACAGUUGUGAUUUGGCAAAAACAGUCCUAGGAACGUUAUGUCCUGGGAUUGUUGAUGUGUGAAAGUCCUCUGGAUGUCCUCAUCCCUCAUAAAACAAACUGUUGGCUCAGAUUAACUUACUUUCUCAGCUUGUCUCUCCUACUAGGAUCAUAGCUGAGCUGGUUCCUCUUGGGGUGUCGGGUAAGAACUGUUGCUUCUUCAUCUUUUGCUCACCUGAUAGGAGCUGUAAGUGCUCAUCUCUCUCCCAGUUUUCUUCUCUAAGCACCUUCCUAUCUUCCUGCCAGAUAACCUUCUUCUCUUCCAUUCCUAAUCCGAGAGAUCCCACUAGGUUUAGCUUAUUGACAGGUUUGCCACAAGUUUGUUUUGUUUUGUCUUGUUUUGUUUUGUUUUGUUUUCCCAUGUAAUGUUACAUCCAGAGAUGUGGAAAAAGAAAGAAAAAGAACAGUUGUUUUCUUCAAACGUUGCAUAAAGACUUUAACAGGAAUAGAUAAAACACCUUUAAAGUUACCCUGUCUUCAGCUUCUCUGGAUGUGUCUCUGCCUAGAAUUUCUCAGUCUUGCUCUUGAUGUUUAAAUAAACAAUAUACCUGUCCUUCCUUGUAUCUGCCAAAGACAAGGUGAAAUGAUGUAGUACCUAAAUUUAAAACAGACGAAGUUAUAUGGAAAAUAUGCAUUUGUCAUACAGAUAAACAUUUUUGAAUGCUGGAAUUAGGACCAGAAUUUUAAGGGUGUUAAUUACCUAAAGACACAGAGAAGCACAGAACAAAGUAUUGAGGUUUCUUGGUGUAUGUCUGGCUCCCAGUCACGUUAACUGGCACUGACCUACAGUCCCUGUGUACUUAUAGAGUACACCUACAGUCAGUUACCGUCAGAAAUCUAGUGCUUAGCUCUCUUGUAAGGUUAACUAUGUUGUUAAUGACAAAGAACAAAAUAAAACUAAUAAACCCUGAAUCAGAAAAUCACCAAACUGGAAGUCUGAAUUAUUUCUUAUUCAUCGAAUGACCUCUAGUGGUCUUCACAGCUUUUACAGCAGUUGAAACGCCAGCUCUCGGAGCAUUCUAGAGGAGAUGAGGAUCAGCUUUCCCAAAACUGUGCACUAUGCACUUUUGCUCUACCCUGUCACUAUUAAAAUAAUAUUUUAUUUCACUUUACAAAGUGAACACCCUGUGAACUUUGUGGGAGUUUUAGGCCAUAUUCUAGUAUCUGCACUGCCCCUGGCUGGCUGUGUUUCUUAGCCAGUACCUCCCUUGAUCUACCUCCCUUGAACUUUGUCAGACACAGCCUUCCAUGGGCCAACACAGCGUUGCUGUGCACCCUGCCACCUUGUAUGACACCUGUUCAGCUUCUCGUAACAUCAGUGUAUUACCCGGAACUGGCCACCAGCUGGCAUCUCUCACUGCUGGCCAAAAUGGACCACAUCGUUCUGAACGCUGACAGCACACCAAGUGAGUUUGUCUGUCUAAAGAGCAAGCUCAGCAGAUGGAAUUCUUGCAACAUAAUUGGGAAGAGAGCUCUAAUCCUCAGUAUUGUGGGACAUGAAAAGAAACCUGAGUUGAAUGUUCAGCAGUAUGUCAGGAAACAAAUGGUAUUCUCAUCACGCAGGGUUUUUAUUAGCAUUUCUGCUGAUCUUUCUGGGGCUUCUUUAAAUAGCCAGGCCAGAUUGUUCUGCCGGACAUACAUAUCAGUCAAAAUAUUAAAGAAUAUAUUAAAAGCUUUUGCUAAAGACAGAGAAUGGGUUCCCCGAAGUAUCUCCCCUAUUCCCAUCUUUCUCAAAUAUGGGAGUUACACAGGACUUCCUGCAUUUGUGUAUUUUGCAUGUAGAUGAACAUAUCUUGUCUGCAAUCCAAGUUGCAUUACAGGUGAAGUAUCCACAUAUUAAUUUUGUUAGGUAGUUUUUGGUGGUCAUCUUGUUCACUGCACAAACCUUGUGACAGAAAAUAAAUCUCACCUCCAACAGGAGACCACUAAGUAACAAAUUUAUGGUUAGGAGCUGCUCGAGAUUGCUUCAUGGUCCUACUUCCAGUGUUGAAAAACAUUUGGGAAGAGCUUGAACCAAUGCUUGAUUUGUUUAAAAGGCAUUCUGAAGUUCUCACUUAACAGAAUGGUCUCAAAUGAUUUUUGUGAGCAUUAAAGUUUGGAAACAAUCCUGACAGAACAGUGAUGAGCCUUUUCUAUGCAGGGAGCAUCAUCUACAUUGAAGAUGAUAUCUUUCUCAAAAAAGAAAACAACAACAACAAAAACCUACAGACAGUCUGCGUGACUACUGGAGUUACACUGCUCUGGCUAUUUUUCAGUUAAAAAAUAUUGAAGAGAUACAUCUUUACAUGACCGUGACAUGUCAUCAGAAUUUGAGCAGAAUGCUUGCCAGAGAAGCAAUUCCAGUAUUAAAGGAAUUUGUACCCAAAUUUCUGGUUUUAUUGGAAGUGGCUAUAGUAGGUGGAUUCUAGAGAAUGCUUCAAUAAUACAUGCACCUUAAAGAUAAUAUUUACAGGUAUGGCAUUUCUGGGUUUGUAUAUCAGUCACAUAGAAGUAAAAGGUCAGUCUUUAAUGACAGAAUUCUUUGUCUGUAUUUGUGUCUAAUUCAUAGAUUGCUUUUAUGUUAUAGCUGAUGUCUGGAAGCUACUCAAAAUAACCUUGUCUAUUUUUGAACAUCCUAAAGUUUGACUUAGCUCUGUUGUUUCAAUUGACAUCUUGGAAUAGAUUGCCUGGUGAAACAGUAUAUUAAAAAGUAAAUAUCAGACAGCAUAAUUUUUUAAUAUUAUUAUUUUUUUCUUUAAAAAGCUGAUUUUUCCUUGUGAAUUUGUACAUUUCUUUGGACCAUAACCUAAGAUGAAAUCUUCUCAUCUUUUUUUAAUGUGGCCAGUAGGUCAGAUUUUACUGGAUAUUGAAACUGUAUGGUACUAUGCAUUUCUCUGUUUGAUAACAUUAAAUAAUGCACAUGGGGACUCUUACUGUAGGUUUGGGAUUGUUUGGUAUUGGUAUAACAGGCUGUGCAGAAGCUAACUCAGUAGAGAAUUAUUUUCUAAGGCAUUAUCCCUCUGUAGAAUUGAAAGGAUUUCCUUGAGUUGGUGUGGUCAUAAUCUCCACAUCUAGAAGUUGCUCUGGGCUGUCAGUCCUUCAGUGGUAUUAUGUGAGUAUAGGCUGCUGUGUCUAGAACUUUGUCUGUGCUCAAAGCCUGGUUUUCUCAACCUUCACAUCAGAUUUCAACACAGUUUCUUUAACUAGUCCCCUGCUGCCUAUGAAGGUUUUAGUAAUUCCUUUUUAACAAGUCCCUCCGUUUUUAUGUAAUUUCCCUUUUUUGAAAUCAAGCACAACACUGGUCGAUGUUUGGGGUUUGUUGCUCCUGCAAGAAUGUUAAAUGUAUAUUUAUUAUGGUUGUUUAUUAUUAUGUAUUCAGCAUCACAAUCAACUCAAGAAUACUAUAGCCUGAUGAUAUUAUGUCUUUCUCUUACCAGACUUCAACAUUUACUAAGGCAUGUACAUUUACACAGCCAUACAGCACAUUAGCUCCAUAGAGAAGGGUUGCAAGAGCACCUGCUGCCAUGAGAACAGUUCUUGAGCUCAGGUUGGAAGCGGAUUCAGAAAUAACAGCAAUUCAUCAGAGAUUGUUUAUUGAUUUGAAUUUCACUAUGGAGUCCCACAGACAUUUACUUUUGAAGUUCAGAAAGCACCUGGCUUGGGUGUUGAAAUCAAUCCAUCGUGAAAGAUUUCAGGAAAGUGGAACUGGAACUUACUCCUUAAUAGCCAUGUAGAACUUACAUAUAACCUUAUAAAGAAUUCAUAGGAUGUUCAUUUUCCCCAAAUCUUUGUAUAAUUUAACAUAUAUUUGCUUCCUAUGGUUAAGGAAUGCUCUUCUCAUCUCUGUCUUUAAUAGUUUAAGGAGGUUAAGAUGUUGGAGAGGCAAAAUGCAUGGGCAGCUCUGGAUGAACUUAUAUGUCAAACUUCUGUACACCAAAAACACAUUUGCAUUUUCACUGAAGCAGCAUUGACAAGACCUGAUGAAAUAUGACCUACGCAUGUGACAUUAGCCUCUGUAAAAUAUGUAAAUGUCGGUAUCUGCCUGAUAUACCUCAUCUACGGACAUGGAUUUGCUAUACAGUUAGUAUUUUACUAUAUUAUAUAUGCAUAUGUAUGUAUACUUUAUUUUAGAAUGUUAGUGUAAUCAUAAAAGGUGAUCUGUUUUAGGAAUUGCUGUUUAGAAAUUAUUUUAUUACCUCUAAGAUUAUGACAUCUGUGUCUGACCACUGGUGUCUAUAUUUGCAGUCACACUUCAUAUUUCACUAGUAUAUGGCCCACUCGUCUUUUUUUUUUGCGUUAUUUUGUGGAAGGAAUCAUGCAGCUCCAUGUAUUCAGUCUGUUUGGGCAGUAUUACACAUACAUCUUGAUUAAUAAACAGCAUUUUCUUCUCUUGUGA